UACGAAGGGGGCUAGCGUUGCUCGGAAUCACUGGGCGUAAAGCGCACGUAGGCGGAUCGUUAAGUCGGCGGUGAAAUCCUGGAGCUCAACUCCAGAACUGCCUUCGAUACUGGCGAUCUUGGAGUCCGGGAGAGGUGAGUGGAACUCCGAGUGUAGAGGUGAAAUUCGUAGAUAUUCGCAAGAACACCAGUGGCGAAGGCGGCUCACUGGCCCGGUACUGACGCUGAGGUGCGAAAGCGUGGGGAGCAAACAGG
rnacentral:rRNA from 1 species